CCAGUGGCAAUGGCUUAAGAAAUCGGGUUUUGCCACCUACAUGGGAGAUUUGGACUGAAUUUCCAGUUCUUGGCUUUGGCUUAGCUGGGGACCAUUACAGGCAUUUAGGGAGCGAACCAGUGAAUGGGAGCCAGUGUGUGCUCAUGCUCACUCUCUAAUAAAUAAAUAUCAAUGUCUCAAAAAUUAAAAGUAAAGUCAUAUAGUGUCCCCUUCUCAUUAGCCAAUGGGGAUGGGCAUCAACAUUCUUGAUCAUUGUGGAAGACAUGUUGGGUGGUCCCAAAAGACACAUGCUCCAUUCUCAUAGCAUCGAGCUGUUGCUUCAAAGCUGUUCCAAGCAGGGACCAUAAUCUUUGCAUCUAGAUAGGGCCCUGAGACAGUUCUCAUCCAUGAAAUGUGAGCAAGAUGUGAUGUGCAUGGCUGUCAGGGCUAAGUUACAAAGAAAUGCCCUUUCUUCUUUGUUUCUAGAUGGCUGGAGAAGAUCUAGCAGGAUAACAGUCAAUAUGGAAUGCAGAGGCAUGAGAUGGAUUUUCUAUCACUUAAAGCCACUCUGCUCUUCUGCCAUAUAAGGACACAGUAUUCAAGGUGCCAUUUUGGAAGCACAGACCAAACACUGAACGUGCCAGCACCUUGAACUUGGAUUGCCCAGCCUCCAGAACUGUUCAUGCCCUGAAAGCCAAAUCACUGACAAAGCCAUGAAGAUCAAAGGAUUUGGAAGGUGGAAAACCACAGCAUUCAAGGCUGCAGGUGCUACCCGCUAACUGGG